GGAGACGCGGGCACCACAGUCUCGAUCCAGUACUCGAGAAGGGAAGCUAUACAAUGAGCCGUCUCAUACUAACGCUUCUGCUACUGUCGCUGUUGCUGUUGCUUCUGACGGAGGUAACAGGACGACCGUCGCCCAUGACCACUGAAGCCCCCUACCCACCCCGCUGCGUAUGCCCGGACCCCCCUUGUGACUGCGACAUCAUCCAAUACACACCCGUUAAGAGAUAAUAGAGGGCGUGAACUAAGCCUUGUGUGUAUAUAUAUAACCCCCAAGACGUGUGUCAAGUGUCUCAGUAUUUAUCUCGAGGUGUUUAUGUGUGGACGUGUGGUUUUUCGUGUUCAUGUUUGUGUCUUUGUGGACUGAGAUUGCAAGGACCGCUACCUCAAGUGUCAUGUCGAAGUGGUGAGAUUCCUUCCAGAUGUGAGAUUCAGAUCCAAGCGUUUAUUUAGCCACAGAGCAUUUACAUAGUUGUUUUAAACUAGGGAGAUGCAUUGGACUGGCUGAGCCCCUGAGAGUUGAAUAGAUUCUCUCGAAAGAGGAGCUGUGAGCGAAAUGGCUAUAAACACUAGUUUGAAAAGGGAGGAAGGAAAGACAAAAAAGUGUGUACGGGAUUGUACGAAAGGUAAUUAUUGUGAUGUCGUCGAAUAAACGUGAUGGAGUGUG